CUUCCUUUUCUCCUUUUUCUUCCGUUAAUUAAAUGUUUUAGAAAUAUAGGUAGGUGUUGGGCGUACAGAGAGGGAGAACGCAAGCAGCGGACAACUUCUCCCCGCAGAUCCGAUAGGCGUGCUGGGAUGGCAAACGAAGCGGGUCGGGUGCAGGGACACCAACUAUUGUAUUUUCAAAUUGUCCGAGCCCUGGACCCCGGCGGCUCCGCAACGGUGGCUGUCAACACCGCGAGCGAAGGUUCCACGAGCAGCGAGCGGCCUCGCCGGGACGGCCGCAGGUAGCAUGAUCUCUGACAUUUGGCAAAGGGAGAAGGUCCAACCUGUGCAGGGCAUUAUGGAAUGAACAUAUGGAAUCCACUGACUUCAGGAAAUAUUUUCAGAGUGCACACAUAUUUCUUCAAGACGUUAACAUCCCAGGGGAGAAGGAGGAAUAAAAACAUGACAGGGAGUAAUUUAAAAUGGCAGGUACUGCAGUUUUCUUUUCCUGUGCUGGAAACCUGAU
rnacentral:lncRNA from 1 species